rnacentral:sRNA from 3 species
GGGUUUAACUCCUGCUUGUUACCGUUUCAUUCGGUCGAAACCGAAUGUCGUUUUGGUGUCUGAUUCGGUAAGGAACCGGGAGCACCAUCUGCGUAGGCUUGUGGUUUAAGACUUGCGUCGCCUACGGUCUUGGACAGCCCCCGCCAGGCAGGGACCCCAAUUUUUCGACUGGCGCGAUCGCUCGCGCCA